rnacentral:rRNA from 1 species
CCUACGGGAGGCAGCAGUGGGGAAUUUUGGACAAUGGGCGCAAGCCUGAUCCAGCCAUGCCGCGUGUGGGAAGAAGGCCUUCGGGUUGUAAACCACUUUUGUCAGGGAAGAAACGGCUUUUUCUAAUACAGAGAGCUAAUGACGGUACCUGAAGAAUAAGCACCGGCUAACUACGUGCCAGCAGCCGCGGUAAUACGUAGGGUGCAAGCGUUAAUCGGAAUUACUGGGCGUAAAGCGUGCGCAGGCGGCUUUGUAAGACAGAUGUGAAAUCCCCGGGCUCAACCUGGGAACUGCAUUUGUGACUGCAUGGCUAGAGUACGGUAGAGGGGGAUGGAAUUCCGCGUGUAGCAGUGAAAUGCGUAGAUAUGCGGAGGAACACCGAUGGCGAAGGCAAUCCCCUGGACCUGUACUGACGCUCAUGCACGAAAGCGUGGGGAGCAAACAGGAUUAGAUACCCUGGUAGUCCACGCCCUAAACGAUGUCAACUGGUUGUUGGACGGCUUGCUGUUCAGUAACGAAGCUAACGCGUGAAGUUGACCGCCUGGGGAGUACGGCCGCAAGGUUGAAACUCAAAUGAAAUUGACGG